UCUGGUAUUGAUUGGUGCUUGCAUCAUGAUUUACAUUUGAGUGAGUGGCGAACUGGUGAGUAACACGUGGGAAACCUGCCCAGAAGCGGGGGAUAACACCUGGAAACAGAUGCUAAUACCGCAUAACAACUUGGACCGCAUGGUCCGAGUUUGAAAGAUGGCUUCGGCUAUCACUUUUGGAUGGUCCCGCGGCGUAUUAGCUAGAUGGUGGGGUAACGGCUCACCAUGGCAAUGAUACGUAGCCGACCUGAGAGGGUAAUCGGCCACAUUGGGACUGAGACACGGCCCAAACUCCUACGGGAGGCAGCAGUAGGGAAUCUUCCACAAUGGACGAAAGUCUGAUGGAGCAACGCCGCGUGAGUGAAGAAGGGUUUCGGCUCGUAAAACUCUGUUGUUAAAGAAGAACAUAUCUGAGAGUAACUGUUCAGGUAUUGACGGUAUUUAACCAGAAAGCCACGGCUAACUACGUGCCAGCAGCCGCGGUAAUACGUAGGUGGCAAGCGUUGUCCGGAUUUAUUGGGCGUAAAGCGAGCGCAGGCGGUUUUUUAAGUCUGAUGUGAAAGCCUUCGGCUCAACCGAAGAAGUGCAUCGGAAACUGGGAAACUUGAGUGCAGAAGAGGACAGUGGAACUCCAUGUGUAGCGGUGAAAUGCGUAGAUAUAUGGAAGAACACCAGUGGCGAAGGCGGCUGUCUGGUCUGUAACUGACGCUGAGGCUCGAAAGUAUGGGUAGCAAACAGGAUUAGAUACCCUGGUAGUCCAUACCGUAAACGAUGAAUGCUAAGUGUUGGAGGGUUUCCGCCCUUCAGUGCUGCAGCUAACGCAUUAAGCAUUCCGCCUGGGGAGUACGGCCGCAAGGCUGAAACUCAAAGGAAUUGACGGGGGCCCGCACAAGCGGUGGAGCAUGUGGUUUAAUUCGAAGCUACGCGAAGAACCUUACCAGGUCUUGACAUACUAUGCAAAUCUAAGAGAUUAGACGUUCCCUUCGGGGACAUGGAUACAGGUGGUGCAUGGUUGUCGUCAGCUCGUGUCGUGAGAUGUUGGGUUAAGUCCCGCAACGAGCGCAACCCUUAUUAUCAGUUGCCAGCAUUAAGUUGGGCACUCUGGUGAGACUGCCGGUGACAAACCGGAGGAAGGUGGGGAUGACGUCAAAUCAUCAUGCCCCUUAUGACCUGGGCUACACACGUGCUACAAUGGAUGGUACAACGAGUUGCGAACUCGCGAGAGUAAGCUAAUCUCUUAAAGCCAUUCUCAGUUCGGAUUGUAGGCUGCAACUCGCCUACAUGAAGUCGGAAUCGCUAGUAAUCGCGGAUCAGCAUGCCGCGGUGAAUACGUUCCCGGGCCUUGUACACACCGCCCGUCACACCAUGAGAGUUUGUAACACCCAAAGUCGGUGGGGUAACCUUUUAGGAACCAGCCGCCUAAGGUGGGACAGAUGAUUA
rnacentral:rRNA from 2 species